rnacentral:rRNA from 1 species
AUUGAACGCUGGCGGCAUGCCUUACACAUGCAAGUCGAACGGCAGCAUGGGUGCUUGCACCUGAUGGCGAGUGGCGAACGGGUGAGUAAUGCAUCGGAACGUACCCGGAAGUGGGGGAUAACGUAGCGAAAGUUACGCUAAUACCGCAUAUUCUGUGAGCAGGAAAGCGGGGGAUCGCAAGACCUCGCGCUUCCGGAGCGGCCGAUGUCGGAUUAGCUAGUUGCGGGGUAAAGGCCACCAAGGCAACGAUCCGUAGCGGGUCUGAGAGGAUGAUCCGCCACACUGGGACUGAGACACGGCCCAGACUCCUACGGGAGGCAGCAGUGGGGAAUUUUGGACAAUGGGGGCAACCCUGAUCCAGCCAUGCCGCGUGAGUGAAGAGGCCUUAGGGUGUAAAGCACUUUCACCGAUGAAGAUAAUGACGGUAGUCGGAGAAGAAGCCCCGGCUAACUUCGUG